UGGGCAGUAACUCAGUGGUAGAGAUCCCGCUUCGUAUGCGGGAAGAUCUGGGUUCGUUUCCCGGCUGUUUAC
rnacentral:tRNA from 1 species